AGCAAACAAGGAAGAGUUUGCAAACUACAUCUCGAAGGACGUUUUGUUUGUGUGUUGUCGUUUCUUGUGUUCCAUCUGGGAGGCUCUGUUGAUGUGUAUGGCUACCUGUAAGAGAGCACUGAUGAAGAAUGGAGAAGAUGUAAAAUAGAGCUCGCCAAAGGUUUUAAAAAUAAAUCAAGAGCUUCCGGUGUUAAUGUAGAACAACACUUCCCUUCUGAAAGUCCAGAGCCAGAGCCCCUAAAAAGAACACUGCCCAGGACUGUAAAGGAUAUGAAAAAGGAACCACAUCACCAUGAGAGUGUGGAGGGGGAACACUUACUCCCUGCAAAGCUGUUUUCAAGACAGGCUACUUGUGUCAUGUAGGGUGGAAAGAAAUGAGUGAAUGAAGGCAGAAGCGCCCAGAAAGAAGGUCAGGAUGACAGCACAUAAGUGUAGAAAAGUCACAUGAGUUGCCUAAGGUCAGAGGCUUAGAAAGAAGUAGGGCCAGGACUGAGUUCCAGAAUUCCUGGACUGCAAGUCAUCAUACUGCACUGGAAAGAUAUUCGACCUUCAAUGUCCAGUCUUCCCAACCUCCAGCAAGCAGGAAAUGAACAGGAUCUCAUCAAAGUGUUUGAAAUGAACAAACGUCACCACAGCCAAGAUGUCCACUUUCUGGGAAGGAACAAAACCUGCAUAUUCCUAAGGCUUGAUUAGUUUCAUUGUUGUAUUUCAACUGAGAAACGCAUCCCAUGCAUACAUAUCUGGCUUGUAUGGUUCUUAUUUUUUUCUCCAUAUUUAUCUUUGCUCCUCUGUUCCAGGGUUAUGGGUUAAAACUAUCUGUUCACAUUGGUAUGAGUUGAGGGUCCAGGACUCCCAAAACCUCAGUUGUCAUUUCUAUAUUUCAAAUAACCUUGCAUCAUGUCCAGAAAUUUUAGACAACUUCCUAUGUGGUUCUUUCUCCUUCCUUUCAAUUAAGCUCUAAUAGGAAAAUCUUUAAUUUUUUUCAGGUGUCAAAAAUUAAGAACAUCGUCUACGUUUCAGGGGAUUUAGAGUUCAGGAUGAAAUGUAGGGAAAAUAUCCUGUGGUGGUUUUGUUUCCUACUGAUUUUCACUUAUGUCCUUUAUUUAAAGUGUGUGAACAUCUGCUUUCUUUUCUUACUUGCUGUAUGUGGCAUGUAUAUGCGAGGAAAAAUCCCAACUCAAAUUUUAAGGAGAUCUUCCUCAGCUCUAGCCUUUCCUAAACCACUUCAGCACUCAGAAUAGUUAUUUCCCUUUGUAUAUUCUGAACACCCCUUUGUAGCGUGGUUGGAUUGGUUAUAUUUGAAAAUACUGCUUAUUAAAAAUUAAAAUAUUGAUUAUGUGAUGUCAUUCUUACCAUACACUGUUUUUUUAAUCUACUCCAAAAAUGUUUUGUAUUCUUUGUAUUUGUUUUGUAUUCCAAAUUCUGUUUUGUAUUCAGAGUUUUUGGGGAUAAAGUAGUACACUGGAAGCUAUGAAUCCUUUUUGAUGUGGAAAAGAAAAGACCACCCUGCAAAAAAAGCCAUCUAAAAUUUCAUGAUGCAAGCAAACUUAAGCACCUCAGCCUGGCCUCAGCAUUGUGACUCUUGAUGACUUAGAAUUUCCUUCACAACCAAAUACAAAUAAGUCUGUGUCUUUAAAAAAAUAAAGCCCAUCUUCUACAUAAGACAGUUUCUAGUUUAUCAAAAAGCUGCACUAGUGUUUAAUAAAGCAUGCUGCAUUCAACUCAGGCACAGGAAACCACAAUUGUCUAAAAAUAUGUUAGGAAUACAAGAAAAACAUCAAUUCUCAGUAUGAUAUUCAGAUUCCCUAUGAAUUAGAAAAUAUUUAUAAAUUUUCUAUGAAGUCUAAAUUAAUGAAAUAAAUGAUAAUCUUUUUCUUGAGUGAAUGUGUGAGGCCUGGCUGCUGCAAUUAGUGCCAAUCUUAGUGUUUGACCAAUUUUAACAUCUUUUAUGAGUUAGUAAAAAAAUGAGUUAAUUUUUCCCUCUACAAAAGCUAAUUUAUUUGUGGGAAGGGCAAGGAUCUUCCUGUAGCAUAAAUAUUAUGAAAUCAUCAGAGAUACAUCCCAGCUUGUGGCCUCUUCAGCAGAUGGUCAGGGUCUCACCUCCCAUCACUUUGGUUGUGCUACCCCUUGGGCCAUCUUGCUCAGACUUGCAGAAGGAAGGUCUCAAAAGAAUUGCAGAGGUUGGAGCUCUCCUAGAGAGGUGACAAAGGAAUGUCUGUUCCUGAAAUAAUGAUUCUAAGUGAUUUAUGGAUUUGGUUACACAUAUGGUUUCUGCAGAUCUGGAAGGCUCUCCCACUAGUUCUGAAAAAGUCCAAGUAUGUUGUUCAGUUGCUGCUCCAGUUGCAGGCGAAGAGAAGAUGAAAUCAGUCAUUAGGUGGACUCUAGUCCACAGAGAAAGAAAAGUCUGCUUUACAAAGAGGGCAGGGGGUCAAGGAGUUAAGUUUUCCAGGGAAGAGGGGAAGAUAGAACAAUAUAUUCCUGCUUUUAUCUUUAGGGGAGAGAAUAUUUCUUUAAUAUCUCUUCAGGCUGAGAAACAGCUGAGAAACACUUCUUUGAUUGAAGAGUAUUAUUUGUUAGGGAUUUUCUGUAUCUCUUUAUCUCUCUCUCUCUCUGAAGCAUUUUAAAGUGGCCCUUAUAUACUCCAGGGAAAAGCACAGGAUGACCAGUCACAACUUAUCCAUCAAUUAGCUCUGUGAGUUGACCUAAGUUAUUACUAGGAAUAUUAGUUUCCCCUCAAUAGCGUAAGAUAGGAAUAAUAAUAUUGAUGUCUCAGUAUUGUUGCUAUACCACAGUUCCUAUCACAGAAAUAGAAGUUCAGCAAACAGUGAGUCUCUUUCCUUGAAAAACUUUUACUUCUUCAAUGCCUUAUAAUUCCUCCUGUCUCUGGCCCUAUGUAGAGGUGCGAGUUACACCUACAGGUUUAGCUCUCUUUAGACUCCAGGAUUUUGCCCAAACUUUAGCAGACAUAAUGAGCCACAAGCCAGAGUUUAUCACUACCAAAGUAACAGGGUUACUGACUUCCCCUUCUGAUCAGUAGCCUGGUUUCGUUUUCCUCUUUGUGAUGAUAGCACUGCCUACUACCUCACCUGUCUUCUCCCUCCAUUUCUAUCUUUGUCUUCAUUCUUUGCUCUGGGAUUUAUAUUUUACCCAAGUAGUUGAGAAGACUUUUAUGAGAUUGCAGUACCCCUCGAUCUAAAGUAAAACACCUGAAUGCUUAUUUAUCUGUUUCGCACAUCCCUCAUUAUCGAUGCCAGAAAUCUGGCAUGUCAUCCUGUCUGCAUCUUGCCUAUUGCUGUGAAUGUUCCACUCUUCUGUGGCCAUUCCCCUUUGUCAACUAGCUUUAGGUCCUGUCAAUCAACAAUGUGAUCCGCCUUGAAUUUAAACAUAUAAGUUGUUUGAGAAAAGAGAUCAUCUACACUUAACAAAUGUUACAAAAUAAUUCAUAGUUGAACACAUAGCUGGAGCCUGGCUUGGGAAAUUUAGUGAUUUAGCUAGACUCAAUCUCAAAUAAAAUAAUAGCAACCAAAAAAAAAGAGGCUGAGAAUGUAGCUCAGUGUAAAAGCCCUGUAUUCAGUCCCCAGGGCCACACAGCAACACAAAACACACAUACAUGAGCACACAAUCACUCUUUAAAAUAGUGUGCAUCUCUACCUAUCCCUCACCACGUACAUCCCUUUCUGUGCAAAAUCGUACCAUUUCUACAUGGAAUUGUUUCAGAUUCACUGUCCUCUUUCCAUUUUAUUGCUCCUUCGUAUAUUGUUCUUUUCCUUCACACUGGAGCUAUCACAAAAUGGAUCCUUAGGCUGUUUGCCAACAAUUACUCCUCUUGAUUUUCACUAUGUGUAUCUUUCAAAAAUCCAGAUAUAAUUAUGUUAUCCUUCCGACUAUCUCUUGAAGAACAAAAGUUCCUGUGGAUAGAACUGAAGAUCACCUAAAAUUUUACUUUUAUCAACUUUUAAAAUCUCCUGCGUUUGUCAAAUUUUGUUACUCAUGUUUUUUCUUAGCCGCAGCAUAUAGUGCCAUUCUGAUUUGAUUUCUUGCUGCGUGUUCUGAAAUGUCUUCUUCCACCAUAAACUUCAGAAAAAUCUGACUGCUCUAUUGUAAAAUCACCUACCUGAAUGAUUUUGUCCCAAUACCAAUACCAAGUAGCUUUUCCCUAGUUCUACAUGGCACAGAGGGUAAAAUCUAAUGGUCCUUCCCGGAAAGGAAAAUAAAGGAUAACAUUUUGCUCUGCUUGACUCAGCCCAAGCAGCCCUACCCACUUUCACUAAAGCCCCAGCCUCAUCCAUAUACACAAUGACAUUUUAAACUUCUAUGCUUUUCCACAUGCUGAGCCACAAAUGAACUUCGCUCUGGCCAUCUGGCAGUUACUCCUAAUUCUUUAGGUCUCAGUAGGACUUGUCUUUUCCUUGUGAAGCCAUCCCUCACCCAUCUGAGCAGGUGUCUGACCCCCUGUGGCCCCCACUCCAUAUGUCUCUAUUACUGUCCUUAUCUCCCUACCAAUCAUUUCUUUUUUUGAAUGAGGUCCUUUUCCAUAUUAAUUUGUGAACUCUUUAAGGCAAGACGCUAUGUCUUUUUUGUAUGUAUGCUUCUCUUAUCUAGCAUAGCACAUAAUGGCCCAUAAUGGGCCUGGCCCAUAAUAUGUACUUACUAUAUGUUGUCAAAAAAGAAAAAAAAAAUGUCUUUUCUUUGAAAUUGUCCUAAUUUUCUCAGGUAUAUUUCAUCAGUCCACUGUCCAAGCUUCAUAGCAAACAGGUACCAAGGACUUAGACUCAGCCUUCUUGGGUUUAAAUCACUGAUCUCAUACUUACUAAUAAAUAAUGUUCUCAAUUGCUGAUUCUCAGUUUCCUGUUUCCUAAAUAACUUGAAGUGAUCAGAUAAGUAUUAUAGUGAUCACAUCAUAGAAAAACAAACAGGAUAAUUUCACAUAGUAAUCAGUAACAACUCUUAGUUUUUGCUGUAAUUUUGCUAUUGGUAGAGAAGAAAGUAGUGUUUAUUGUCUAAUUAACUUAUGAUUGAUUUCAUAUACAUUGUCCUGCCAGGCCAUGACUACUUGAAUCCUGUUACUAUUUAUUUUCAUUAUCAUUCACAGAAUCUAGAAUACUGCCUGUUAACAAUUUUAAAGGAACUGAAACACUGGCAUAAAGAAAUAAAGUCAACUCUACAUACGUUUGAAUUGCAAAGAAUGCUGACUGUAUACUGAAUACUAUUUGAACACCUAACCUAAUGCAGCAUACAAAACAAUUUGACUCUUGUAGAAAUAUUUAUAUAUUCUGUGAAGAUGCAUAGCAUGGAGGAAUGGUGAGGGAAUAUAAGAGGUUUAUAAAGAGAAGGAACUCUUGAAUUUAAGAUACAGUACUUAAACCUGUACUAACCAAAAGAAAGAUUUCAUCAUGUCCAAUUAUGAUCAUAUAAACAGUCAUAAGAAUAUGUCUGAGGUGCUGAAUUAUGAGAAAUAGAACUUACUUGAAACUGACCUCUUGGAUCAAGAUGCAAAAUUUAUUGGUGUAUAGUUUUGACUGUUAUUCUGAAUCAAGAGUGUCAGCAUAGUAUUGCCGCUUGUCUCAGAAGCACUCUUAGCCCUUUACAUCUUUAGUCAGGAGACCUAGAUCGUCUGCCAAAACAAGAUUUCCUAGGUUUACUUCUAAAUAUAGCUUUAGUUUGGG